AAAAAGAAAGAAAAUGUAGACCUUCAGCCAUGGAUUAAAAGCAUAUGCAACCAUUUGUGGUAUGCAUGUGCAUCCUGCAACGGUGGCCCAGAGGUUUUGACAGAAAAGUGGAAAUCUCUGCUCCAUCACAUUUGCGGUGAACACAGGUGGGAAGAAAAUGGACGUCAACAAACGUGUGCCCACGAUGAACUCACCCAUGACCAGCAAAGGAGGAAACGAUGCCUACGAAAAGAGUCCACAGCCUUCCACACACUAUCAACACUGGUUUUAUAUCCCAAUCUGUUGAAGGACAUGAGGCAAAUGGCCCUCUUCAAGCACACAGGCAAUCUUGAGGUUUACCAUUCUGUUCUUCUGAAAUACUGCAGAAAGAACCUGCAUUUUCACUACUCCUCGAUGACAGCUCGUUCUCAACUUGCUGUCAUGGAUCACAAUGAAAAUGUAAACCGUCAACAGGCCACAACCAGCUCAGGCAAGUAAUCAACUUUCCAAAAGUGGGGUGCUGACAAUGCAAAAUGCACAACUGAAUUAUACAUACACACUGACAGAGAGCAAAAUAGACACGGUAAUUUAGUUAGGGCAAAAGAUAAUGCAUUACAACUGUAUAUAUUUCACUUUUACA